rnacentral:rRNA from 1 species
GACGUAGGGGGCGAGCGUUGUCCGAAGUUACUGGGCGUAAAGCGCGCGUAGGCGGCCUCUUAAGUUGGGUGUGAAAUCCUGCGGCCCAACCGCAGAACUGCAUCCAAAACUGGGAGGCUUGAGGACGGAAGAGGGCAGUGGAAUUCCUGGUGUAGCGGUGAAAUGCGUAGAUAUCAGGAGGAACACCCGUGGCGAAGGCGGCUGCCUGGUCCGUAUCUGACGCUGAGGUGCGAAAGCCAGGGGAGCGAACGGG